AUUGCGGAUAAGCAACAAGGGAGAAUCAGAUUUUACUCAAUAUCUUUUUGGUAUUUUCAUCACACUUGAGAAUCUAAAACACUAACACAAAGGGGAAUAAUAUGACAAGGACACAUAUAUAACUAUCAUACAUGAACAAAGGGAAGAAACAAUACUAAGACAGGGACGAAAAUAUAUCACAACACAAACACACAUAUAUGUAUAUAUCACAGGACACCACACACAUAUGAAGAAUACUGUUUCACUAAACAAAGUAUGACAGGUCAAAUAUUUCGCAUAACAAACAUAUAUAUCCACAUGUACAUAGCUAACACAGGAACUAAGAAUUUAAAGAGGUUCAAACUUCUCACUUGACAGAGCACACAAACAACACAAAAAUUGACUAGUAAUCUUAGUUCUUACAAAACACUAAUUGAUAAACAUGGCACAUAUAUUGAAUAAUACUACUAGAAAAGUAUAGGUCUCUGAACUAAACAAAAUACGUAAUACAUUACAAUUUCCAUGAAUUACAGAGAGGGAGAAAGAGAACAGCAGGUUCAGUUGGAGACGAGCAGCAGCAGAGAUAAGGGAAGAAGAGAGAAGCAGCAGCAAGGUUAGGAGCAGCAGGGGACGCAGAAGAAAUGGAGCAGAGUAGCAAGUAGGGGAAGAGAAGCAGCAGUAGUUGGUUCAGAUAAGGAGCAGCAGCCUGUAGCAGAGGCGUGAGGAGAAGGGAGCAGCAGCAGUUAUGGUUCAGGGAGGAAGAAGAGGAGACAGCAGCAGGAGGUCAAGGGGAAAAAGAAGAUGCAGUGGGGGUGUGGAGAGAAGAGCAACAUCAUGAGUUAGGAGAAGUAGAGCAGCAAAACGGGGGCGCCCUCACGCGGAUGACCAGACGCCUAUGCUCCCAUUUGUCUGGUUGGUCGCGCGAGGUAUGGCGGUGGCUGGAGAUGGUGGAGGGAUGGCACAGUGAAGGUGGAGAUGGAUCGAUGAUGGUGGAUGCUGUUGAUGGCGCGGUGGCGCGGCUGCGAUGGAUGGAUGGUGUAGGAGGAGGAGAGUGGUGGCGCGCGGUGGUGCCGGCGGUGAUGGUGAUGUGGUGGGAGCGCGAUGGCACGGGUGGAGGUGCUGCGGGGUUGUGGAGCAGGUAGAGGUGUUGGGUGGCGCGUCGCCACGCCGGCCUGGCCGCGGCGGCGGCCGGAGGUGGAAGAAGGAGGCGGGGGAAAGAGGGGAUGGAGAUGCCAGGCACGAAAGGGGAUUAGCUGCCGCUAGGGAUUUUGACCCCUCCUCUGAUCUACCACUUUGCAAUUUUGGCCCUUCUCCUUUUCUUCUUUCUUCAUAAGAAGGUCCCUUUCUUCUUUAACUUGUCCCAUGGAGCAUCAUUUCUUCACACACAAGUCCCUCUGUCUUUCUUC
rnacentral:rRNA from 1 species